rnacentral:lncRNA from 1 species
GGGUCACUUAAAAAGUUAAAACUUUCAUUCACGGAUGACUAGGGUUUGAACAGAAAAACCACGGGUGAACAUCGUCAUCUUCAUCAAGCUAUCAUCACUCAUCAGGCAUCUUCAUCUUCUCCUGCCUCCACCGUCUCCUCCGCCACAAACCCACCACCGUCUCCGCGCCUCUGUCGUCCCCUCCGCUACAAACCCCCCACCGUCUCCGCGUCUCUGUCGUCUCCUCCGCUACAAACCCCCCACCCUCCGUCUACAAUUCAGCCCCUCAAACAAUAACUGCCACCACCGAAACCUUUUUUUACUCCUUCAGACUCCGGUCUCAAAUUGUCACCAUCAAUUGGAUAUGUUCGACACCAAAGGUAACACUUUUCAAAUAUUAUUCAAUCCCUGUUAAAUGAUUUCAAGCAAAACCAAUAGAAUUUAAUUUUGUGCCGUAUCAUUUAUUUUAAUUAUGGAUAUAUUUAUUUUAAAGGGUGUGUUAGAAUUUGAUAUCAUCGUUAUUUUUUAAUCCUUCUUGAUCAUUGAGUGUAAGGAAUAUGAAAUUCAGAGAAGCAUUGCCAAUUGUUAGUGAAGACAUAUAUGUUCUAAUAUUACAUUGUUCAUGGCCAAUGGAAGAAUCAUGACCUUACGGUUAAGGACGAAAAAACCAUUCUCUUUGGUGAGAAGCCGAUCAUUCAUCAUUGUUUUUGGCGUCAGGUCGGAUAUGAAGCUUUCCUCAAAAGCAUUCUAAACUCUACCAAGACUGUAGCAAGAGAAAGGGUCCAGAGCUUGGACCCAAAUGAUCUAGUUGGUGGUUUAGAGAUUGGACUAGAAUGGUGUGAGGUAAACGUUCAAGUACCAAUAAAAAAAGAUGAAAACUUGGUAAGACCAUAUGGUUUAUUUUCAACAAUUCAAGAUUGUAUUGGUGCAUCCAUCGCAUGGCCCUAUCCAUUCAUCUCGGUAGUUCAUGAGGAUUGAGGACGCAUGAUGACUCAAGAUUUUAUGCUUCUUAUUUCUUUAAUUGCUUUUAAUUUCUUUGUUAAAUGUUAAGACUU